AGAGAAUUGUGCAACCAAUUAUACGAAUAACUAUGCGAAUAACCAUCCAAGUAACUAUCCAAAUAAUUAUCCAAAUAAUUAUCCAAAUAACUACCCAAAUAACUAUCCGAAUAACUAUCCGAAUAACUGUACAAAAAAUUACGAAAACGAUAACUGUAGUAAUAGCAGUGCUAAUAGUAACAAUUUUUUUAAUCAAAAUAAAAGAAAAAAAAAACAAACGAUGGAAGGAAGUGUCAUAUCAACACCUAUGCCUACGAUUACUAUUGUAACUUUACCUACAGUUAACGAAAAUGAUAAAAAUAAUUUAACGGCUUUAAAAAAAAACGAGUACUAUAGUAAUGAUAAUACAUCAUUAUAUAAACAAGAAACACAUGUAAAUGAUUAUGCAAAUGUUUUUACAACUGCACAACCAAAUAAGAAAGCAACUAAACACGUUUGUGCAAUACGAAAUAACUUAUUAGACGAUAUAUAUUAUGAACAUAAUGUCAACAAUUUCAACAAUAGUCAUGAUAAAAAUAGUGGAAAUGACAAAAACAACAUUAUUGAUAACAAAAUUUAUAGAAGUGACUUUACGACUGAUACAACAAACCCACACGUGGAUAGUGAAUUUAUGAAUGACCAAAUAAGUAAUAUAUGUUAUGAAUAUUUAUUUAAUUAUAAUGAAAAGGAAUAUGAACAUGAAUGUGAGUGUGAGUAUGAACAUAAAUACCAAGAUGAGGACAAAUACAAAGAUGAGGACAAAUACAAAGAUGAGGACAAAUACAAAGAUGAAGACAAAUGCGAAGAUGAACAUACAUAUAAAGACGAACAUAAAUACGAAGACGAAGACGAAGACAAAGACAAAGACAAAGACAAAGACAAAGACAAAAACAAAGACAAAGACAAAGACAAAGACAAAGAAAAAAACGAAGAUAAAAACGAAGGUAAAGAUAAAGAGAAACACAAAUGUGAAAACACGCUUAAAUGUAAUAGCGAUAUUCCAUGUAAACAGACAGAAAAUAAAAAAGCAUGUUGCUUACAAAAACCUUGUUGUAGUUACGUUUUCAGUUCAUGUCGAGUAUUAACAGAUAAUUCAUUUGAAAAUGAACAAAAACAAAACAAAAAUUUUAUAAAAAAAAACAGCUUAUCAUUAUUACAAAAAAUAUGUUCUAUCAAAUAUAAAAAUAAUGAAAAUAACAAAAGUAUUAAUAACUGUUUAAAAUUUAUUAAUACUAAUAAGAAAAAGCUAAAUGACAACAAUAGUAAUAGUAAUAGUUUGAUCGUGUUAAAAGAAGGAAGUAAGUUUGCAGUUGAUGGUACAUAUGCAGGUCAAACUCAACCUGGUGCUACACAAGCAACUGCAACUACAACUGCAACUACAACUGCAACUACAACUGCAACUGCAACUGCAACUACAACUCUUAAAUCGAAAGAUGUUUCCAUUUUUCCAAAAAGUCAAAUAAGUAAAAGUCCUACUUAUAUAAAUAAAAACAGUACCAACAACAAUAGCAAUAAUAGCAACGCGAAAAAAAAAAAGAAAAAUGAACACCAAAAUAGUAGUCCACUAAAUAGCAGUAGUAGUGGUAGUAAUAGUAGUAAAAGCAGUAUGAAUCUGUUAAAAUAUGUUCGAAUGAAUGUUGAUAAAAGUAGGUGUUACGCUGGUAAGGCAAAAGGAGUGAUGGUAGGGCCAGAUGUGUCUGAUUUUACAUCGAAAAUUGCAAAGUCUGAUUUUAGAAAUACCACCUU
ensembl:lncRNA